rnacentral:misc_RNA from 1 species
UAGAGAAGCAGCUAACUUGGCACCGCGUGGACAGAUCGAUUUGUGAUUGGUUUUGGAAUCAAGUUAUUUCUCAAGGUGAUUCCUUUAAGCAACAAUCGGUUAUUGCUUCGCCAACGCAUUACCUGUUCCAAAUUGUUCGUGAGGGGAUCACUUUUUUAGCUUGUACCCAAGUUGAAAUGCCACCUUUGAUGGCCAUUGAGUUCCUUUGCAGAGUAGCUGAUGUUCUCUCAGAUUACCUUGAAGGGUUGAAUGAAGAUUUGAUAAAGGAUAACUUUGUCAUUGUGUAUGAGCUUUUGGAUGAGAUGAUAGACAACGGCUUCCCUCUGACCACAGAACCUAACAUACUGAGAGAGAUGAUAUCUCCGCCAAAUAUUGUUAGCAAAAUGCUGAGUGUUGUGACUGGUAACAGUUCAAAUGUGAGUGACACCCUGCCAGGUGCAACAUCAUCCUGUGUUCCAUGGAGAACAUCGGACAUAAAAUAUGCAAAUAAUGAAGUUUAUGUUGAUCUUGUUGAAGA